rnacentral:rRNA from 1 species
AUUGAACGCUGGCGGCAUGCCUUACACAUGCAAGUCGAACGGUAACAGGUUAAGCUGACGAGUGGCGAACGGGUGAGUAAUGCAUCGGAACGUGCCCGAUCGUGGGGGAUAACGCAGCGAAAGCUGCGCUAAUACCGCAUACGAUCUGAGGAUGAAAGCGGGGGACCGUAAGGCCUCGCGCGAUCGGAGCGGCCGAUGUCAGAUUAGGAAGUUGGUGGGGUAAAGGCUCACCAAGCCAACGAUCUGUAGCUGGUCUGAGAGGACGACCAGCCACACUGGGACUGAGACAUGGCCCAGACUCCUACGGGAGGCAGCAGUGGGGAAUUUUGGACAAUGGGCGAAAGCCUGAUCCAGCAAUGCCGCGUGCAGGAAGAAGGCCUUCGGGUUGUAAACUGCUUUUGUACGGAGCGAAAAGGCUCUCUCUAAUACAGGGGGCUCAUGACGGUACCGUAAGAAUAAGCACCGGCUAACUACGUGCCAGCAGCCGCCGCGG